CAGUAGCCGCGGUAACACGAGGGGGGCAAGCGUUGUUCGGAUUUAUUGGGCGUAAAGGGUGCGUAGGCGGUUUGGCAAGUCUUGCGUGAAAUCUAUGGGCUCAACCCAUAGCCUGCACGAGAAACUACCGGGCUUGAGUGAUGGAGAGGUGAGUGGAAUUUCCGGUGUAGCGGUGAAAUGCGUUGAGAUCGGAAAGAACACCAACGGCGAAAGCACUCUGCUGGGCCGACACUGACACUGAGAGACGAAAGCUAGGGGAGCAAAUGGGAUUAGAUACCCGUGUAGUCCCUGUCUCUUAUAC
rnacentral:rRNA from 1 species